rnacentral:rRNA from 1 species
GACGAACGCUGGCGGCGUGCCUAAUACAUGCAAGUCGAACGCAGUGGGGACGGGUGAGUAACACGUGGGUCACCUCCCAUCAGAGGGGAUAACACUUGGAACCCGGUGCUAAACCGAUAUUGAUGGAUGGACCCUCGGUGCAUUAGCUAGUUGGUGAGGUAACGGCUGACCAAGGCCACGAUGCAGAGCCGACCGGAGAGGGUGAUCGGGCAAAAUGCGACUGGGAGAUGGCCCAGAAGCCUACGGUGGGCGUCAGUAGUGAAUCGUAUGCAAGGGACGAAAGUCUGACCGAUCAACGCCACGUGAGUGAAUAAGGUUUUCGGAUCGUAAAACUCUGUUGUUAGAGAAGCGGUAUCUAACCAGAGAGCCACGGCUAACUACGGGCCAGCAGCCGCGGUAAUUC